AUCCCUUGAUGAGGACAGGCGGCGACGUACUCCUACACACACUCCCAAACUUCUGGUAUGGAUUCAUCCUUCGUCUACUGGAAGCUAGAAAUCCUCUAGCGAAGGGC
rnacentral:snoRNA from 1 species